UACGGAGGAUGCGAGCGUUAUCCGGAUUUAUUGGGUUUAAAGGGUGCGUAGGCGGAAUGGUAAGUCAGUGGUGAAAUGGUGCAGCUCAACUGUAGCAUUGCCAUUGAUACUGUCAUUCUUGAGUACAGAUGAGGUAGGCGGAAUGUGGUGUGUAGCGGUGAAAUGCUUAGAUAUACCACAGAACACCGAUUGCGAAGGCAGCUUACUAAGCUGACACUGACGCUGAAGCACGAAAGCGUGGGUAUCAAACAGG
rnacentral:rRNA from 1 species